rnacentral:tRNA from 1 species
ACUAAAAUGACAGAUAUAUGUGCAGAACUUAAGCUUCUGUUAAGGAGACGCUUUCUCCUUUUAGUA